CUCAUUAUUAGGAACGUGUUCUGAGGGAGGAGACAACUCAUUAUUAGGAAGGUGUUCUGAGGGAGGAGACAACUCAUUAUUAGGAAGGUGUUCUGAGGGGAGGAGACAACUCAUUAUUAGGAAGGUGUUCUGAGGGGAGGAGACAACUCAUUAUUAGGAAGGUGUUCUGAGGGAGGAGACAACUCAUUAUUAGGAAGGUGUUCUGAGGGAGGAGACAACUCAUUAUUAGGAAGGUGUUCUGGGGGGAGGAGACAACUCAUUAUUAGGAACGUGUUCUGAGGGGAGGAGACAACUCAUUAUUAGGAAGGUGUUCUGGGGGGAGGAGACAACUCAUUAUUAGGAAGGUGUUCUGAGGGAGGAGACAACUCAUUAUUAGGAAGGUGUUCUGGGGGAGGAGACAACUCAUUAUUAGGAAGGUGUUCUGAGGGAGGAGACAACUCAUUAUUAGGAAGGUGUUCUGAGGGAGGAGACAACUCAUUAUUAGGAAGGUGUUCUGAGGGAGGAGACAACUCAUUAUUAGGAAGGUGUUCUGAGGGAGGAGACAACUCAUUAUUAGGAAGGUGUUCUGAGGGAGGAGACAACUCAUUAUUAGGAAGGUGUUCUGAGGGAGGAGACAACUCAUUAUUAGGAAGGUGUUCUGAGGGAGGAGACAACUCAUUAUUAGGAAGGUGUUCUGAGGGAGGAGACAACUCAUUAUUAGGAAGGUGUUCUGAGGGGAGGAGACAACUCAUUAUUAGGAAGGUGUUCUGAGGGGAGGAGACAACUCAUUAUU